rnacentral:rRNA from 1 species
GACGAACGCUGGCGGCGUGCUUAACACAUGCAAGUCGAACGGAAAGGCCCUGCUUUUGUGGGGUGCUCGAGUGGCGAACGGGUGAGUAACACGUGAGUAACCUGCCCUUGACUUUGGGAUAACUUCAGGAAACUGGGGCUAAUACCGGAUAGGAGCUCCUGCUGCAUGGUGGGGGUUGGAAAGUUUCGGCGGUUGGGGAUGGACUCGCGGCUUAUCAGCUUGUUGGUGGGGUAGUGGCUUACCAAGGCUUUGACGGGUAGCCGGCCUGAGAGGGUGACCGGCCACAUUGGGACUGAGAUACGGCCCAGACUCCUACAGGAGGCAGCAGUGGGAAAUAUUGCACAAUGGGCGGAAGCCUGAUGCAGCAACGCCGCGUGCGGGAUGACGGCCCUCGGGUUGUAAACCGCUUUCGCCUGUGACGAAGCGUGAGUGACGGUAAUGGGUAAAGAAGCACCGGCUAACUACGUG